GACGAACGCUGGCGGCGUGCUUAACACAUGCAAGUCGAACGGAAAGGCCCUGCUUUCAGGGUGCUCGAGUGGCGAACGGGUGAGUAACACGUGGGUGUUCUGCCCUGCACUUCGGGAUAAGCCUGGGGAACUGGGUCUAUUACCGCGGAGAAGCCAUUUUGAUGGUGAUGGUUGGAAAGUUUUUUCGGUGUAGGAUGAGCUCGCGGCCUAUCAGCUUGUUGGUGGGGUAAGGGCCUACCAAGGCGGCGACGGGUAGCCGGCCGGGGUGGGUGGACGGCCACCUUUGGGCUGAGAUUAGGCCCAGACCUCUACGGGGAGGAGGGGUGGGGAAAAUUGCCAAAUGGGCGGAAGCCUGAUGCAGCGACGCCGCGUGGCGGGUGACGGCCUUCGGGUUGUAAACCCCUUUCGCUAGGGACGAAGCUUUUUGUGACGGUAACUAGAUAAGAAGCACCGGCUAACUACGUG
rnacentral:rRNA from 1 species